GGUCUCAUGGUUCAGCGGCCUAGAACUCUCCCUGUUGAUGGGGGCGACGUCGGUUCAAAUCCGGCUGAGACCA
rnacentral:tRNA from 1 species